ACUACGGGUGGCAGCAGUAGGGAAUAUUGCUCAAUGUGGGAAACCCUGAAGCAGCAACGCCGCGUGGAGGAUGAAGGUUUUCGGAUUGUAAACUCCUUUUGUUAGAGAAGAUAAUGACGGUAUCUAACGAAUAAGAACCGGCUAACUACGUGCCAGCAGCCGCGGUAAUACGGAGGGUGCAAGCGUUACUCGGAAUCACUGGGAGGAAAGAGCGCGUAGGCGGGAUAGCAAGUCAGAUGUGAAAUCCUAUGGCUUAACCAUAGAACUGCAUUUGAAACUGUUAUUCUAGAGUAUGGGAGAGGUAGGUGGAAUUCUUGGGGUAGGGGUAAAAUCCGUAGAGAUCAAGAGGAAUACUCAUUGCGAAGGCGACCUGCUAGAACAUAACUGACGCUGAUGCGCGAAAGCGUGGGGAGCAAACAGGAUUAGAUACCCUUGUAGUC
rnacentral:rRNA from 1 species